rnacentral:rRNA from 1 species
CUAGGCUCGAACGGCUUUAGACAAUCCUCAGAAACGGGGACUUCCCGCAAGGGACUGGAGUCGAGGUGCUGCAUGGCUGUCGUCAGCUCGUGUCGUGAGAAUGUUGGGUUAAGUCCCGCAACGAGCGCAACCCCUGUCCUGUGUUGCCAUACCUUAAUCGGUGGAACUCGCAGGAGACCGCCGGGGAUAACCUGGAGGAAGGUGGGGAUGACGUCAAGUCCUCAUGGCCUUUAUGUCUAGGGCUACACACGUGCUCAAUGGACGGUACAAAGGGUCGCCAACCCGCGAGGGGGAGCCAAUCCCAAAAAACCGUUCUCAGUUCGGAUUGGGGUCUGCAACUCGACCCCAUGAAGUCGGAGUCGCUAGUAAUCGCAGAUCAGCAACGCUGCGGUGAAUACGUUCCC